GCGGAAAUAGCUCAGUUGGUAGAGCAUAACCUUGCCAAGGUUAGGGUCGCGAGUUCGAGUCUCGUUUUUCCGCU
rnacentral:tRNA from 1 species